UAACAUGUAACAUUUGGAUUUUUUUCUGACUUAACAGAUUCUACUUUUUGUGUGAAACAUCCAUAUACCAGCCUUCUGACUGUGAUUCUGGCUGUUCUGAUGGGGUUUUCCAUUUUUGGUGCUCUUGGUUUGGUUGUUAUUUUUAAACAUCAUUGUGCAGCAAAGGAAAAUCUGCACACUGACAGCCUGAAGACUCAAGAUUCUUCUGACCCAAACUCUGCUGCUCAUAAGUUUUCAAAAUCCAGAAAAAAUGGACGACCUGCAGAAAACAGAAAGUUGGAGACUUGUGUGAUGUAUUCUGUCAGAAGAAAGACUUACAGUUCUGUUUGAAUAAAGAUCUGUUUUUUUUAUUUCAA